ACUAACGACUGCGCCACGUUGAAUACACAAGUUCUCGUCCGAUCACUGAAGUUAAGCGACGUCGAGGGUGGUCAGCACUCGGAUAGGUGACCAUCUGGGAGAUCACGUGCUGUUGGUU
rnacentral:rRNA from 1 species